ACCUCUCAAACCCAAGUUUUGGAUUUAUCCUUGCUUGAGUUUGGAUUUGGGUGUUUGCCAGUGAUGAACUGACUCACCUUAAAAGUAUUAGCUAGAUCUGUCUUUGACUGGUUUGACUUGGCAUAAUAAGUAUUUUGCUAAGGACAUCUUCGGAUGGCCAGGACUUGACUUUUGUCUGCUUACUAAACCUUACUUUAAGUGCAUCUCUGGUGUUACUUAUAGUAUUACUUUGAC
rnacentral:misc_RNA from 1 species